rnacentral:rRNA from 1 species
UACGAAGGGGGCUAGCGUUGCUCGGAAUUACUGGGCGUAAAGGGCGCGUAGGCGGAUAGUUUAGUCAGAGGUGAAAGCCCAGGGCUCAACCUUGGAAUUGCCUUUGAUACUGGCUAUCUUGAGUUCGGGAGAGGUGAGUGGAAUGCCGAGUGUAGAGGUGAAAUUCGUAGAUAUUCGGCGGAACACCAGUGGCGAAGGCGACUCACUGGCCCGAUACUGACGCUGAGGUGCGAAAGCGUGGGGAGCAAACAGG